rnacentral:rRNA from 1 species
UCAAAAACAUCUCUUCUUGAAUACUGGAUUAGAAGUAGGCCCUGCCCGGUGGCCUAGCGGUUUAACGGCGGUCUUAACCUUAAAGUAGCGUAAUCAGUUGGCCUUUAAUUGGGGUCUAGUAUGAAUGGGUUGACGUCGGAACAUCUGUCUCGCAGGAACAUAUUGAAAUUUACAUUCUCGUGAAAAGGCUAGAAUACCUUUAAAAGACGAGAAGACCCUAUCGAGCUUGUUAACCUCAAUUGAGGGGUCGACAAGGGUAGAUUUGUUGGGGAAACAGUGGAGAAAGAAAACCUCUGCUACUUAAUAUGAAGGUCCUGCCUAUUCUGUGGAGAAAAGAAAUAGUUACCGUAGGGAUAACAGCGCGAGACUACUUCGAAGACCGUAUUUAAGGUAGUAUUUGCGACCUCGAUGUUGGAUUAGGUUAUCUGCUAGGCGCAGAAGCUUAGUUAGAGGGUACUGUUCGCCCCUUAAACGCCUA